rnacentral:rRNA from 1 species
ACGGGAUCCUUCGGGAUUUAGUGGCGGACGGGUGAGUAACGCGUGAGAAUCUGCCCUUAGGUUGGGGACAACAGUUGGAAACGACUGCUAAUACCCAAUGUGCCGAGAGGUGAAAGGUUAACUGCCUGGGGAUGAGCUCGCGUCUGAUUAGCUAGUUGGAGUGGUAACGGCACACCAAGGCGACGAUCAGUAGCUGGUCUGAGAGGAUGAUCAGCCACACUGGGACUGAGACACGGCCCAGACUCCUACGGGAGGCAGCAGUGGGGAAUUUUCCGCAAUGGGCGAAAGCCUGACGGAGCAAGACCGCGUGAGGGAUGACGGCCUAAUGGUUGUAAACCUCUUUUCUCUGGGAAGAUAAUGGCGGUACCAGAGGAAUAAGCCUCGGCUAACUCCGUGCCAGCAGCCGCGGUAAUACGGAGGAGGCAAGCGUUAUCCGGAAUAAUUGGGCGUAAAGCGUCCGUAGGUGGGUGACCAAGUCAGUUGUUAAAUAGUGAAGCUUAACUUCAUAGAGGCGACUGAAACUGGUCAUCUAGAGUGUGGUAGGGGUAGAGGGAAUUUCCAGUGUAGCGGUGAAAUGCGUAGAUAUUGGAAAGAACACCGGUGGCGAAAGCGCUCUACUGGGCCCGCACUGACACUGGGGGACGAAAGCUAGGGGAGCGAAAGGGAUUAGAUACCCCUGUAGUCCUAGCCGUAAACGAUGGAUACUAGGCGUUGCCCGUAUCGACCCGAGCCGUGCCGAAGC